UACGUAGGCAGCGAGCGUUGUUCGGAGUUACUGGGCGUAAAGCGUGCGUAGGCGGUGUCUUAAGUUUGUUGUGAAAUCUCCCGGCUUAACCGGGAGGGUGCGGCGAAUACUGAGAUGCUGGAGUACGGGAGAGGUAAGCGGAAUUCCUGGUGUAGCGGUGAAAUGCGUAGAUAUCAGGAGGAACACCGGUGGUGUAGACGGCUUUCUGGACCGUAACUGACGCUGAGACACGAAAGCGUGGGUAGCAAACAGG
rnacentral:rRNA from 1 species